rnacentral:lncRNA from 1 species
GUUUGGUUUGCCAUCACUUUUUGUGACUUUUCUGACAUCUGCAAGUGUCGGAAGUGUGACCUGAAACAUUUAAGGACACUUCUGCCUGAACCAUGGGCAGAUGUUUAGACUCCAAGAUACAGAGGAGGAGGGUCUUGGAGGUUUCUUAGUAUAAGUUCCUCCCUGUGGUACUUGCAGUUCCUACAAGGGGCUGUCAGAGAAACAAGCCGGAGCAGAAGAGCAAGACAUGGUCCUGGUGCAUGAAAGGAGCCUAAGAAAGAAGAGUGAAAGCUGCACGUGUUCUACCUCCAGAAAGCCAUAAAAGAGAAAAGAAUGUUGUACCAAACUAAGCAAAUGAAGCAUGAAAUGAAAAGCCGGUUGAGCUGGGAGGUAUAAAGAAUGGAAAGGAAGCAGCUACCACCCCUGGUAACCCCAUCAAUCCGGAGAAGCUUCGCAGAGUUACACUGUGCUCUGUCGGGAAGGAAAUGAAUUUUCCUCAUUGUACACAUUCCGAGAAAAAUGAGGCUAAGACUAUUUCAAAGGAUGUUCUACCUAAUUCGAAUGGGCUUUAAGUGCCAUCUUCACAAUAGCGCCAGAGUCUGGUGUCAGCAAACUGAACAAAUAGAGCUACAGGGAGCGAAUGGGGCUGGGUGCCUCUCCAAAACAUAUGCAGAUGAACUUGAGAUUUCAGAGGACGGUUAAUCCUACACAGCAGUCAAGUGCCUUCCCAGGGGGCUCCCUUCCAAACACUGGCUGCCACGUCAAACCAAAGGGGACGAGCAAUCAGACUCACCUCAAACGCCAGUUAAGAAAGCCGGCCUUACUUAAGCAAUCAAGGGCAAGUGAUCAGCCAACUCUGCUUUCUUUCCUUUCUCUUGGAUCAUUUAUAGACCUUGUGGCCGUGGCCACCACAUUGAGAAGCCCUUGGUCUCUACUUGGACUCACUAUAGCAGGU